AUUGAACGCUGGCGGCAGGCCUAACACAUGCAAGUCGAAUGGUAACAGGAAACAGCUUGCUGUUUCGCUGACGAGUGGCGGACGGGUGAGUAAUGUCUGGGAAACUGCCUGAUGGAGGGGGAUAACUACUGGAAGCGGUAGCUAAUACCGCAUAACGUCGCAAGACCAAAGAGGGGGACCUUCGGGCCUCUUGCCAUCAGAUGUGCCCAGAUGGGAUUAGCUAGUAGGUGGGGUAACGGCUCACCUAGGCGACGAUCCCUAGCUGGUCUGAGAGGAUGACCAGCCACACUGGAACUGAGACACGGUCCAGACUCCUACGGGAGGCAGCAGUGGGGAAUAUUGCACAAUGGGCGCAAGCCUGAUGCAGCCAUGCCGCGUGUAUGAAGAAGGCCUUCGGGUUGUAAAGUACUUUCAGCGGGGAGGAAGGGAGUAAAGUUAAUACCUUUGCUCAUUGACGUUACCCGCAGAAGAAGCACCGGCUAACCCCGUG
rnacentral:rRNA from 1 species